GUUUCAGGUUGAUUACAGGGAUAAGAAAUGUGGAAAUAGUUCAUGCAAUCACUUCUCCAAAUGUUUUCGCACAAAAUUGGACAAAUAUGUCUGCAUCGAAGUAGAAGUUAAUGGAGGAUGGAGUGAGUGGAACCCUUGCGGAGGUUUUUCAGUGACAUGCAGGGGUGGGACUAGAUCAGGAACACGCACUUGUGAUAAUCCUACACCGAGAUUGGGAGGUCAGCUCUGCAAUGGACAAUCUUCAGAUUCAACAUCCUGCAACACGCAUAACUGUUCUGGCUGCACCUUUCCUUUUGAUUGUUUUGACAUCCACAAUACUGGACAAAACAAUACAGGCCUUUAUUAUAUAUGCCCUGGUAACAUAAGCCGAGAAUCUGUUCCAAUUCAAGUUCUGUGUAACAUGGAAGCAUAUGG